rnacentral:lncRNA from 1 species
CACAAUAACUCACCUCCCUCCUAACACCCCACCUGUGACUUCCACUUCCAAGGACUGGGGCAGGCCUCUGUACACAGUGUGGUCUCCUCUCAAUAAAGACUGCUGACUGAGGGCCAGGUGGCUGACAGGCUGGCCCCAGCUGCAUUGUUUUCAUCUGUACACCAAAGAUAACGCUGUCCAUUUCGUUGAUUUCUUGGGAGCAUCCAUCACAUGGAAAGUACCUAGACCAUCAGUUGCCUGUGAUCAGCUUCAGUCUGAAAAUUGCAAAUGGAAAAUUGUGGAAAUAAACAACUUGCUGACCUACUCAGGAAUGGUACUACUAGAGUGGGCUGAGCCCUCCUACAUCAAUCAAAAAUUAAGAAAAUGCCCCACAAAUGUGGAGUGCAAGAAGCCCUGAGUGAAUUGUAUUGUUGACAAGAACCAGUGCCUCUAGACCUAUGAGAAUGUCAAAGCCUUCUCCACAUAAUUCAGGCUCAGAAUUUGGAAAGCAUUCCUCUGGUCCCGGUGCAAAUGCUGACAAUGAGAAAUGGCUCAGAGGAUGAAGGUAGCUGCCAUGAAGCCUGAUGAUAUGAGUUAGAUCCCUAGGAUCCACCCGGGUGCAAAAACUUAUUGGCUUUCAUUAUUCUUCUGACCUCGACAUGUGUGCUGUGG